GACGUAGGAUGCAAGCGUUAUCCGGAAUUAUUGGGCGUAAAGCGUUCGUAGGUGGUUUGUUAAGUUGGAUGUUAAAUCUUUGAGCUUAACUCAAAAUUGGUAUCCAAAACUAGCAAGCUUGAGACAGGUAGAGGUAAACAGAAUUCUGUGUGUAGGGGUAAUAUCCAUAGAUAUACAGAAGAAUACCAAAAGCGAAAGCAGUUUACUGGACCUUGUCUGACACUCAAGAACGAAAGCGUGGGGAGCAAACGGG
rnacentral:rRNA from 1 species